GCUGGAGCAUGCUUAAGUGUGUCUGCCACAAUGUCCUCCACUGUUGCUUGCUGGAUUCUAGGAUUGGACAUCAUCACUGCCUCUUGGUCUCUUCCCUUUCUUCCCCUUCAGACUAAACUCCUUCCACACACUGUAGGAGGCCAGUGCCCGCAUCACCCGCCGGGUGUUUUCCCCAGGGUUUGGACCUCCAACAAGACUUAAAUGGUGUGUCUACAAGAUGGAAUACAUUUUCAAAAUGAGAGAGGAGUUCCUCCAUAGUGCCACACACAUCAAGGCUCAUCUCCUCCACUCGCUGACUAGUCCCAUCCCCCAGGGCACGAGCAUAGAGUUCAUACAGGGCUGCUGUUGAGCUCCUCAUCGCCUUCAUCUCACUCUCUAUGCUGAUGAUUCUCUGAGUGAGUAGGCUCAGGAGGUGAUCUGGGAGAAUCAAGAUUGAUUCAUUCAAAUAAAGGUAAAAACUAAGUUUCAAAUUAUGUUUUGCAUUUACCAUUCUUCUGGAUGUCUCUAGGAGGCGCUGGUCUUGAUGAUGCAUCAAGAAUGUGAUGCUCUUCAGGUCUUGAUGGCGUUAGUGUGGUUUGUCUG